CUUAUUUUAAAAUUUUAAAAAUUAAAAAUUUAAAUUUUUAAAAUUUAUAAUUUAUAAUCUCAAAAUUAAAGUUUAAAAUUUAAAUUAUAAAUUAUAAAUUAUAAAUUUAAAUUUUGAUAUUUUAAAUUUAUGAAAUUUAAAAUUUGAUAUUUUAUAUUUUUUAAAUUUAAAUAUGAUCUUAAAUUUAAAGUUUGAAAUUUAAAAUUUAAAAUUUUGAAUUUAAAAUUUGAGAUUUUAAAUUUCAAAGUUAAAAUUUUAAAUUUAGAAAUAUAAAUUUAAAAUUUUAAAAAUUCAAAUUCAAAUAUAAUAAGUGGAUAAUAUAAUUAUUUUUUAUUUACAAAAUCCAUUAUCUUUCUUAUUCCAUCUUAUCUAACCAAACGCUAUUUUUUUUAUUCCAGAAAUAACCCAAUUUUCAUCCAAACGCAAAAUUGAUCUAAUCCUCGCUUAUACCUCAAUUUAUACCUAUCCCUGGAAUAGUCACUUUUUCCUUAUCCCCAAACCAAACGAUACCUUAAGGCUUUGAAACUCCAAGUUCUUUUAUGUUUGUAAAAGCGUAUAUGAGUUAUACUUUUGAAGCAGAGUCAUUUUAAACAAGGGG
rnacentral:lncRNA from 1 species